rnacentral:tRNA from 1 species
GGGGUUGUGGCUCAGUGGUAGAGCACUUGCCUAGCAUGUCUGAGACACUGGGUUCGUUUCUCAGCACCUCA